ensembl:lincRNA
UGGGCCGGGAGCAAGGGCUACACUGGGCACUCCCGCCAGCCACGGGGCCUGGGGGCUGGAAGCAGGCAUUGGGCUCUGAGGAUUAGGAAAAUUAGUUUUUGAGAAAUUGGGACUUAAGGAUGUUGAUGAGGUGAAACAUCUUUUUCCUGAUGAAGGUGGAAAAUACCAACGUUCCUCACGUUUGAAUUUCCUUUCAUCUGUUUUUAGUAUCAGACUACUGUCCCCUGUGCUCAGCCUGAUCCUGUUCCUCAUUACGCUGGAGUUGGUCAACGUUCAUGCUGUUCAUGGGAAGAAUGCGCAUGAGUAUCAGCAGUACCUAAAACACCCCAUCCUCUGCUCCACUCAGUAGAGACAUGACCUGCCCCUCGAAGCUCUGCUCAUUCCACCGCCUUCCUGACAGGCGUGUGCACAGCUUCAGGAAGCUCUCUGAGUUUUCGAUGAUUUGGUGGAGAAGCUCCUCUGGUGAAUGGACUUGGGAUUUCUUGGAGCUGCGCUGCGGGUCCACAGUGUGGCUUUCGGCCCGUGUUGCGGGGGUACUUGCACUUCCUCUGGCGGGGCACGGGGUGGCGCUCCCGGGUAAGGCAGCGGCCGGCGGAGCCGUGAGCGAGGCGCUGCCUCUCCGGCUGAAGCCAGAUCCAAGGCCACCGUGAGGGGGACCCACCAUCCAGGUAAGACGUGUUGUUUCCUUGUUCCUUGGCGAAUCGAUGGGGACCAGGCUUCCCCAGGCGGUGAAAUGAGGAACAGGGACCGCGGGGCUCGCCUGACCAGUGGGGUCUCCAUCCUUCUCUGUGUUGACAAAAGACAAGAACAGACAUCGCCUGAAAUCUUCCCGCCUCCGUGAGGGAACCUGCGUCUGGGAAGGCGCUGCAGAGAAGUGAUCGCUGAGUGAGGAAGGAGGUGCCGGGCCUCAUUAAUCAUACCUCGGGAGGCAAUGCCAGGAAGGUUCUUUGUUUAAAGAAAUACUCAUUUAUUUUUUAUUUUUUAUUUAAGUUCUAGGGUACAUGUGCACAACGUCCAGGUUUGUUACAUAUGUACACAUGUGCCAUGUUGGUGUGCUGCACCUGUUAACUCGUCAUUUACAAUAGGUAUAUCUCCUAAUGCUCUCCCUCUCCCAUCCCCCACCCCACAACAGGCCCCCGUGUGUGAUGUUCCCCUUCCUGGGUCCAAGUGAUCUCAUGGUUCAGCUCCCACCUAUGAAUGAGAACAUGCCGCUGUUUGGUUUUCUGUUCUUUGGGUAGUUUGCUGAGUUUAAAGAGCACUUGGUGCGGACUUGCUGUGGCCAUCGCCUUCAACAGCUCAUCUGUAGGAGGUGCAGGCUGAAUUCACACCUCCGUGUCAUCCAUGUCUGCCUGCUGGCAGAGGAGACAGGAGAGGCCCUCCCACCCGCGGCUUGUACGGGAAGCUCUUCGUGUGGGCUAGAGGGGUGUGGUUUGGUUUAUAGCCACACCAAGUCAUUUUAAUACAACUCAGUUAACUGUGUUGCCUUGCAGGCUCCGAGUGUUACAGGCAGACCCGAGUCCGAGUCUUCCUACCAUUCACUGUCCCCUUCUGGAUUUCUAGGGACCCCAGAUACGAUGGCAUCAAUGUCAGUUAACUUGGCACUGUUUAAAAUAGAUCUAUGAUCAAAUCUUAAGUUUUUCCAAAUAAGACCCUGGAUGAAUGCAAGAAGGUCAUUUGAUUACUUUAAAAUAAGAGUAUUUUAUGUUAAGUUUGAAAAAGCCAGUCAUAAAACUAAACCCUGU